GUAGUGAGUGUCUGGGUUCGGGACAGAGCCGAUGUGCAUGCCUCUGAAGGAGAGUGAGAGGUGAAACAGUACAGCUGGAGCAGACACACGCGCGCGGGUUCUGAGGUUCUGGAGCUCGGUGAGAAGGUGUGUGAACAUGGCUGAUGUCUCUGAGAGGACACUGCAGGCCGCCAUCUUGAUCUCCUUCGCCGCAGGGUUCGUGGCGGGCUGGCAGGCGAACCGAGCGCGCCGGAAGUUCCUGGACUGGAGGAAGAAGCGGCUGCAGGACAAACUGACGGAGACUCAGAAGAAGCUGGACCUGGCCUGAACAGAACCAGAACCAGGACAGGCGUGUGUCAGUGUGUGAUCAGGUUUUAAUUAGUAAUGUGUCCUUCUCGAGCGAGUCGGCUCUCCGAGUCCGCUUUUAGUCAGCUCUUUAACAGGUCUCCUGAAGCCAGUGACUCUCCUCUUCCUCCUCCCUGACCUCUGACCUUGGAGCCUGGACCCUGAUAUUCAGAGGUUCUGCUCUGUUUGUCCUUACACGAUGAUGAGAAACACAGAAACACCCAGACGAGUGACGCUACAGACUUUUACAAACACUUUACACUUCAUUUUAUUUGGAAAAAAGUGUUUUAUUAUGAAUGUUUUUGUAACCAGAUCUUUGUAAUAAGCUGAAUAAAUCAAAUGUUUUACUAACUAAAAGUCGUGUUCACUGAAGUACAGCUCGGGGGUUUAAACUCACAACCUUCUGGUUAGUAUGGAAUUUAAACUGGAUGUUUGUUAAUCCGUAUUCUAGGGAAUAUUAUUCCUCAUAUUCCUUGUCUUUAUUUGUUUAUCAGACUAGUUAUUUGGGUCACAUGGCUCGAUGGUGCUUUGCUGAGUUUAUUGUUUAUAAAACAUUUUCAUUUUAAAACCUAAAUCUGAUUAUGUAAUAAAUCUAGCUGUGUGUUUUAUGAGAUUUGUUUACUGCUCAUUUCAGGAAACUUUCUGAUAUAAAAUAUAAAGGAAUGAAAAGA